rnacentral:rRNA from 1 species
AGUGAACGCUGGCGGUAGGCCUAACACAUGCAAGUCGAACGGCAGCACAGUAAGAGCUUGCUCUUACGGGUGGCGAGUGGCGGACGGGUGAGGAAUACAUCGGAAUCUACUUUUUCGUGGGGGAUAACGUAGGGAAACUUACGCUAAUACCGCAUACGACCUACGGGUGAAAGCAGGGGAUCUUCGGACCUUGCGCGAUUGAAUGAGCCGAUGUCGGAUUAGCUAGUUGGCGGGGUAAAGGCCCACCAAGGCGACGAUCCGUAGCUGGUCUGAGAGGAUGAUCAGCCACACUGGAACUGAGACACGGUCCAGACUCCUACGGGAGGCAGCAGUGGGGAAUAUUGGACAAUGGGCGCAAGCCUGAUCCAGCCAUACCGCGUGGGUGAAGAAGGCCUUCGGGUUGUAAAGCCCUUUGUUGGGAAAGAAAAGCAGCAGGUUAAUACCCCGCUGUUCUGUCGGUACCCAAAGAAUAAGCACCGGCUAACUUCGUG